rnacentral:lncRNA from 1 species
UCCUAGACUUGAAAUCUCGUCCUCACACUUGUACUUCAGGGCAGCAGUUGAGUUUCUGUGAACAUGAUGAUGGUGAUCACCUGGAUUCUCUACAUGCUCUGCUCUAAUUCAUACUCAGGAGGAGAGCAAAGCUGGUGUCUCCUUGGACCAAAGAAGCACCUGUCCCGUCACACUAGAAAAGUUUGAUCCAUGGGUCUUCAGGGGAAGAUCUAUCUGUUAGAAUUGGACAACUAACAUCAAUUUUAUAUUUUUCUAUUAUCCUAUUUCUCAUACCUCUCACAAGUUUAAUAGAAAGUAAAUUACUCAAAUGAAGAACCCUUGUAGUAUAAUCAUUACCUUGGUCUUGUAAACCCAAAAUAGAGACCCCUUCCUCUCCUCAGGACACUAUUCAAGGAAGAAGCACAAAGCUCUACCAUCAGCACCCAAAGCUGACAUUCUUAUUAUACUACUCCCCGAGCAAUAUCCUUAUUUAUAUAAAACAGCAAGUCAUCAAAAACAACUCAGCCUUUACUGAUCUUCUCUGGAGUAAACCAGAGGAUAGGAUAUAAUGGAAAAGGUUUUUAACUUGUGAAGAAAACUAGCAAUCCAUUUAGAUUUCUACAAUGUUUAAUUUUAUCAGUAAA